rnacentral:rRNA from 1 species
AACGUAGGUGGCGAGCGUUAUCCGGAAUUACUGGGCGUAAAGCGUGUGCAGGCGGGCUGUCAAGUGGUGUAUGAAAGCUCCCGGCUCAACCGGGAAGGGUUAUGCCAGACUGACAGUCUUGAGUGCGAGAGAGGAGCGUGGGAAUUCCGGGAUGUAGUGGUGAAAUGCGUAGAGAUCCGGAGGAACCCCAGAGGCGAAGGCGGCGCUCUGGCUCGCAACUGACGCUCGAGACACGGACAGCAUGGGGAGCGAACGGG